rnacentral:rRNA from 1 species
AUUGAACGCUGGCGGCGUGCCUAAUACAUGCAAGUCGAGCGCAGGAAGCCGUCUGAACCCUUCGGGGGGACGACGGUGGAAUGAGCGGCGGACGGGUGAGUAACACGUAAAGAACCUGCCCAUAGGUCUGGGAUAACCACGAGAAAUCGGGGCUAAUACCGGAUGUGUCAUCGGACCGCAUGGUCCGCUGAUGAAAGGCGCUCCGGCGUCGCCCAUGGAUGGCUUUGCGGUGCAUUAGCUAGUUGGUGGGGUAACGGCCCACCAAGGCGACGAUGCAUAGCCGACCUGAGAGGGUGAUCGGCCACACUGGGACUGAGACACGGCCCAGACUCCUACGGGAGGCAGCAGUAGGGAAUCUUCCACAAUGGACGAAAGUCUGAUGGAGCAACGCCGCGUGAACGAUGAAGGCUUUCGGGUCGUAAAGUUCUGUUGUAAGGGAAGAACAAGUGCCGCGGGCAAUGGCGGCACCUUGACGGUACCUUGCGAGAAAGCCACGGCUAACUACGUGCCAGCAGCCGCAGUAA